rnacentral:rRNA from 1 species
GUGCAGCAGUCGAGAAAACUCCGCAAUGCUCGAAAGAGUGACGGGGGGAUUCCAAGUGCCUACGCUUAGCGUAGGCUGUUCAGAUGCCUAAAAAGCAUCUGGAGUAAGGGCUGGGUAAGACGGGUGCCAUCUGCAGUGGUAAUGAAAAACUUGCUACUGCAAGGCAUAAGCCGCCGCGGUAAUACCCGCAGCCCGAGUGGUAGUCGCUUUCAUUGGGCCUAAAGCGUCCGUAGCCGGUCUGGUAAAUGCCUGGGGUAAAUCGUGGGGCCUAACCUCACGAAUUCCGGGUAGACUGCCAGACUUGGGACCGGUUGAGGGAGAGGGUACUCCAGGGGUAGGGGUGAAAUCCUGUAAUCCUUGGAGGACCACCGGUGGCGAAAGCGCUCUCCGUAGGACGGGUCCGACGGUGAGGGACGAAAGCCA